AGCGGCAGGCCUAAUACAUGCAAGUCGAGGGGCAGCAUAGUCUUCGGACUGAUGGCGACCGGCGCACGGGUGCGUAACGCGUAUGCAACCUACCCACUACAGGGGGAUAGCUUUCGGAAACGGAAAUUAAUACCCCAUAACACAUAAGUAUCGCAUGGUACUAAUGUUAAAGAUUUAUCGGUAGUGGAUGGGCAUGCGUAAGAUUAGAUUGUUGGUGAGGUAACGGCUCACCAAGUCUACGAUCUUUAGGGGUUCUGAGAGGAUGAUCCCCCACACUGGUACUGAGAUACGGACCAGACUCCUACGGGAGGCAGCAGUAGGGAAUAUUGGUCAAUGGGCGAGAGCCUGAACCAGCCAUGCCGCGUGCAGGAAGAAGGCCUUCUGGGUUGUAAACUGCUUUUAUACAGGAAGAAAUAGUCCAUGCGUGGACAGUUGACGGUACUGUAUGAAUAAGCACCGGCUAACUCCGUGCCAGCAGCCGCGGUAAUACGGAGGGUGCAAGCGUUGUCCGGAUUUAUUGGGUUUAAAGGAUACGUAGGUGGGCUAUUAAGUCAGUGGUGAAAGCCUGCAGCUUAACUGUAGAAUUGCCAUUGAUACUGAUAGUCUUGAGUAUGGUCGAGGUAGGCAGAAUUUAUGGUGUAGCGGUGAAAUGCAUAGAUACCAUAAGGAAUACCGAUAGCGAAGGCAGCUUACUGGGCCGUUACUGACACUAAUGUACGAAAGCGUGGGGAGCGAACAGGAUUAGAUACCCUGGUAGUCCACGCCGUAAACGAUGCUCACUC
rnacentral:rRNA from 1 species